GGCCAUUGCUAUCCGAGUCCGACUAAGCCAUGCAAGUCGUGAGGGGUUAAGCCCUCGGCGAACUGCUCCGUAAUAUGUAGUCAACCUACCCUCUGGAGGGGGAUAAUCCCGCGAAAGUGGGGCUAAUACCCCAUAGGUAUCCGAGGCUGGAAUGCACGGAUGCUCAAAGCUACGGCACCGGAGGAUGGGAAUGCAUCCUAUCAGGCUGUUGUUGGUGUAAUGGCGGACGAACACGCCGAGCAAAAACCAACAAACCGAUAACGGGUACGGGCUAUGGAAGUAGAAGCCCGGAGAUGGAUUCUGAGACAUGAAUCCAGGUCUUAAGAGACGCAGCAGGCGCGAAAACUUUACAAUCUGCUAACGCAGGAUAAGGGAACUUGGAGUGUUCUAGCACUGCUAGAACUUUUGCUCACUGAAAACGCGUGGGUGAAUAAGGGGUGGGCAAGACGGGUGCCAGCCGCCGCGGUAAUACCCGCGCCCCGAGUGAUGGCCGGAAUGUUUGGUCUAAAGCGUUCGUAUCCGGUUUAGCAAGUCCUCAGUGAAAUCUUGCAGCAAACUGUAAGGCAUGCUGGGGAUACUGUUAGACUUGAGACCGGGAGAGGGUAGGGGUACUCUCGGGGUAGGGGUUAAAUCCUAUAAUCCUGAGGGGACCGUCUGUGGCGAAGGCGCUUACCUGGAACGGGUCUGACGGUGAGGAACGAAAGCUAAGGGAGCGAUCGGGAUUAGAUACCCCGGUAGUCUUAGCCGUAAACGAUGCCCGCUUGGUGUUGCGGACUUCUCGGGAGUUUGCAGUGCCGGAGUGUAGAUGUUAAGCGGGCCACCUGGGAAGUAUAGUCGCAAGGCUGAAACUUAAGGGAAUUGGCGGGGGAGCACACAAGGGGUGGAGGCUGCGGUUUA
rnacentral:rRNA from 1 species